GGCUCAGGAUUAACGCUGGCGGCGUGCCUAAUACAUGCAAGUCGAAUGGUAGCAAUACCAUGGCGAACGGGUGAGUAACACGUAGGUAACCUGUCUUUAAGCCGAGGAUAACCAUUGGAAACGAUGGAUAAUACUGGAUAGGACAUUUGAAGGCAUCUUUAGAUGUUUAAAGAUUUAUCACUUAGAGAGGGGCCUGCGGCGCAUUAGCUAGUUGGUGAGGUGAAGGCUUACCAAGGCGAUGAUGCGUAGCCGGACUGAGAGGUUGAACGGGCCACAAUGGAACUGAGAACGGUCCAUACUCCUACGGGAGGCAGCAGUAGGGAAUUUUCGGCAAUGGGCGGAAGCCUGAACCCGAGCAACGCCGCGUGAACGAAGAAGUAUUUCGGUAUGUAAAGUUCUUUUAUUAGGGACGAAAAGACAGAUUGACGGUACCUAAUGAAUAAGCUCCGGCUAACUACGUGCCAGCAGCGGC
rnacentral:rRNA from 1 species